CAAACAAUCCGUAACUAAAAGUAGAAGCAAAAAAUGGGAGAAGCGCCGGCGGAAUCUGUCCAAUCUACAUAAAGAGCAGCAGAUGCCCCCUAAUGUUUAUAAAACGGGGCCUGCUCCGAAAGAUAAAGAAAUAAAGGAAGAUCAACAUAUGUUGCUGAAUGAGUAUGCACGUUUGUGAAGAAUACAGAACUCUGACAGGCAGAAUGGGAAGCACUGGCUAUUGGAAUGAUGGGGACAGCAUCAGGAUCUUAUUACCUACCUACUCAGAGUUUUUGGUGGUAGAAAUAUAUGCCAGAUCCUUCUGCCUCAAAUGAUGUACAAUAUACACAUUUAAAACCAAUAAAACAAUUUUAAAAACUCAA